GAAAUGCGAUAAGUAGUGUGAAUUGCAGAAUUCAGUGAAUCAUCGAAUCUUUGAACGCACAUUGCGCCCCUUGGUAUUCCAUGGGGCAUGCCUGUUCGAGCGUCAUUUGUACCCUCAAGCUCUGCUUGGUGUUGGGUGUUUGUCCCCGUCUCCGCGCGUGGACUCGCCCCAAAGUGAUUGGCAGCCGGCGUACUGGUCCCGGAGCGCAGCACAUGUCGCGCAAACGAGUGCCUUGGUACGGCGGCGUCCAUAAGCCCCUCUCUCACGCUCUUGACCUCGGAUCGGGUAGGGAUACCCGCUGAACUUAAGC
rnacentral:misc_RNA from 1 species